GGGCUGCGUAGAUCUGCUAGGUGCCUUGGUGAACAUUAUACCGGAGGAUUCGGCGGCGCGCCCCCCCGGGGGCGUGCCCGCCGGUCCCAUCAGCAUCUCUGUUUGUACCCGACGUUACCUCUGAGUGUUCUAAGCGAACUAUCAAAACUUUCAACAACGGAUCUCUUGGCUCUAGCAUCGAUGAAGAACGCAGCGAAACGCGAUAAGUAGUGUGAAUUGCAGAAUUCAGUGAAUCAUCGAAUCUUUGAACGCACAUGGCGCCCCCUGGCAUCCCGGGGGGCAUGCCUGUCCGAGCGUCGUUUCAACCCUCGAGCCCCCGUGGCCCGGCGUUGGGGCCCUACGCGCCAUCUGGCAGUAGGCCCCGAAAAGCAGUGGCGGUCCCGUGUGGUCCUCUCCUUUGCGUAGUAGCAUCAGCCUCGCUUUGGGAGCCCGCGGCGUACUGGCCUCGAAACCCUCCAAGUCCGCCCCGGCGGCACCCAGGUUGACCUCGGAUCAGGUAGGAAUACCCGCUGAACUUAAGCAUAUCAAUAAGCGGAGGAA
rnacentral:rRNA from 1 species